GAUUUUUAUAAGUCUUCUAAAUAUGCAUAAAAAUUUCUUGGUCUGCAUAAUUCUCAUAAGUAACAAUGCACAAAUUUUGAUAAGUGUUCUGACAAUCACUAAUAGUUUAAAGAGUGAAUACAUAUAGCAGAGACUGAUGGGAAUUGAUGCUUCGUCUCAAAAAACUGUAAAACUGCUUAAAAAUUUAUUGUUAUUGAAUUUAAAAUGCUCAAAAUAAGUUAAAAAAGAGCAAAAACUAGGAUUUAAAAAGUUCUAAACUGUGAAACCUGCCUAGAAAUAGCUGUUAAUAGGCCUUAAAAAAUUAUACUAGGAUUUUAAAAUGUUCUAUAUUGUAAAAACUGUCCCAAAAUAGCUGCUUCCAGGCCUUCAAAAAUCAUACUCCAAAAAUAGCUGCUUCCAGGCCUUCAAAAAUCAUACUCCAAAAUAGCUUCUUCCAGGCCUUCAAAAAUCAUACUCCAAAAUAGCUGCUUCCAGGCCUUCAAAAAUCAUACUCCAAAAUAGCUGCUUCCAGGCCUUCAAAAAUCAUACUAAGUCCAUCAUUCUUCCAAGAGCCUCCGGAGAAAGACUGUGAGCGUUCGGCAUCAGAGAAAACUGCUCCUGAGGUCCCACUGAUGGCUGCCUUGUCCUAAUGCACAGGCAAGGAAGCUCUUCACCCAGACACUUGCAGAAGGCUGGCUGAUGGAGGCUACUGGGAGGUCUAGUUGUCACCUGGUCCUGUGUCACACCACCCAGACAUCCACAGCAGGCUACUAGGAGGCACUGGCCAGUCACCUGGCCCAUGUCACCUCACCUGAGAAAGAGAAUUAGUUAGCUUGUGUCUAUGUCUGGCUCGUCAACACACUGCCACCUGAGAAGUCUACCACCAAUAUGAAGGUUCCCACUCCCUCUGCCGUCUUUAAGUGUAGGAAUCAAAGAUGUAUUGUGUUUUAAGUGUCCGAGUUCCUUUAAUAAAUGUAACUAAUGGAC